rnacentral:rRNA from 1 species
UACGAAGGGUGCAAGCGUUGUUCGGAUUCACUGGGCGUAAAGGGUGCGUAGGUGGUGAGGUAAGUCGGAUGUGAAAUCUCCGGGCUCAACCCGGAAAUGGCAUUGGAAACUACCUUGCUGGAGGAUUUGAGGGGGGAUUGGAAUACUUGGUGUAGCAGUGAAAUGCGUAGAUAUCAAGUGGAACACCAGUGGCGAAGGCGAAUCCCUGGAAAAUACCUGACACUGAGGCACGAAAGCUAGGGGAGCAAACAGG